GGCCCAUCUUUCUUCAGCUUUCCCCAAUCUGCAUAAUUCAUAUCAUUAACAACCCCUCAAAAAUAAGCCUUGUCCUCAAGGCUGAAGUAUGGAAAUUGAUGCUGCAUGUCAACUGAAUCCAUCCAGUUCAUGAAGCCCUCAAAGUCACACACAACUUUUAGUCAAUCAAAGCCAGAAGGGUUGAAGAGAAAGAGAAAAAUCUGCCCCUUUUUUUCUUUCUAUCCUCU
rnacentral:misc_RNA from 1 species